GAGGGAGGGAGUAGCGGCGGGUGGCCACGGGGACGUGGGGCUGUAGAAACUUGUCACCGUGUUUUUCCGGGACCUUGAGGUGCCGCGCCAUACAACAUAGCUACACAGACAGCAACAGGGCUGUAUGUAUAUACAGGUAUUUAGAAGUGCCAUAAAUUCUGCUGCAGUAACUGAAAUGGUAGGAAGGAAUAGCUCCGUGAGAACAACCAUUUCUACUGAAGCUUCCACUUGAGUACAGAAGGAAGAAUUAUGAUUCCCCUGCACAGAACUUGUGCAAACCUAAGUUUAUACAGAUCCCAAAAGCAAGGAGGCAUUCAUGGAAGAAGAAAUCUAUUGAACACCGUUAAAACAAAAACCACCUCUAGGUCAGGAGCUCUCUGAGCUGCAAUUUGCAACAGGCUAGGCAAGUACUCUGGGACAAGAACCAGUAGAUGUUUGUUGUGCUCUUACACUCUUCUUCAGCUACCUGCUCUGAGCCAGUGGUUUGUAUGGAUCUUCACCAUUCUUAGCAAAACUAAAUGCCCACUGGGAAAAGAAAAGAGCUGGAGAAAAAAAUAAAUUAUUGUGGAGCACAAAACCCAAACCUAUUAGAUCCUGUCACAGACAGUUGAUGGGGACAAUGUACUUGUGGCUGGAGCUGUUUUGUUUGGAAAAUUAUGCUUAUAGAAAAAUGGAAUUGAUUCUUGGAUCCAUUCAACAACUCUGGUUUUCUGGAGAGUGUCAUUUCUCUCUCAGCUUGCAAAAUUGAAAUAUAUAAUCAAAUAAAUUAUAUCUAUCUGUGAAAUACAUAGGUUGUUGCCAGAAAUCCUUUGAGAAAAUGAUUGGAAAGGGUGGGGGAGGAACAGGAAUGCAUUUACCUUGAGUGUAAAUAUAAGCUUAAGAGAAAGACAUGCAGAGACUAUGAAAUGAUUAAAAUGUCUGCAUUCAUACUAAUGAAAUAUCAUCCAUGCUGUUACUGCAGGUGAACAUGACCUUGGUCUGAACACUAAAGCUUGCACAGUUUAGAGGGCAAAAAAGCUGUAUUACAAACGAAAGUUGUACUCCUUAACUUGUCAAUCCUGUUACGCUUUCCCAGUGAAUCAUGGGACAAUACUGAAUGCUGAUGUCCUCCUGAACUCCAGAAUACACUGUGAUUCUCUGGGCUUUUGAAAAAGUAGCAGAGAAACAUCUCUGUGUAAGCAGAACAGAAGUGAUUUCUGGUGAAAAUGCCUCUCUCUAGAAAGAGCUGCUUAGUGGGACUGAGGGGUUUUGAUGUGCACUGAGGUGAGAUGGUUGGGAUCACGCAUAAGGAAUGCUUUCUGAGUUUGCCUCUGUGUGCUUGCUGAUCAAGGGGCUGGGUCUUAAAAAACCUCUCAGUGAAGAACAGCCCCAGCACAGACCCAUGUACAGCCCAUCAUGUGUGUGGAUGUGGGGUCCAGGACCAGCUUUGCUUAGUUUAUGUUGUGCUUCACUAUGUCUUCACCAGUGUAUGGAUUUUAUGUGCUUUGUGGAAAUCAGCUGAGAUGUUCUGCUUGUGGCUGCAUUUGAUUUUUAUGAAUGGUGUCAGUUUAGCAUAUGCUGACAGCUGACAACCCAGAGGCACUCCUUGGUACUUGUCUAUCCCGAGUACUAUGCUUAUCAUUUUUUAAUGCUAUGGCCACUAUUUUAAGGUUGAUAGCACCUCUGGAUGUGAGAUGCUCCCAUGCAUCCCAUGCAGUUGGACUUCUCUCAGAAUUGAAGCCACUAUUGCAUUCAACCCUACACUGAAUGAGCCUGGCCAUAAGAAGAAUCUUUGUUCAAUUCCUGAAACAGUCCUAAAUGAUUUUGUUGCUUUCUUUCUCAAACCCAUAUGUUCCCACAAAACUUAUGCAAACAUUAAAAAAAUGAGAAAGAAUGAAAUAUCAAGUGCC